rnacentral:rRNA from 1 species
GAUGAACGCUAGCGACAGGCUUAACACAUGCAAGUCGAGGGGCAGCGGGGUGUAGCAAUACACUGCCGGCGACCGGCGCACGGGUGCGUAACGCGUAUGCAACCUACCUACCAGUCCGGGACAGCCCGGCGAAAGUCGGAUUAAUACCGGAUGAAGCAGGGGCCCCUCCUGGGGAUAUUUGCUAAAGGUUUACUGCUGGUAGAUGGGCAUGCGUUCCAUUAGGUAGUUGGGGGGGUAACGGCCCACCAAGCCGGCGAUGGAUAGGGGUUCUGAGAGGAAGGUCCCCCACACUGGUACUGAGACACGGACCAGACUCCUACGGGAGGCAGCAGUGAGGAAUAUUGGUCAAUGGGCGAGAGCCUGAACCAGCCAAGUCGCGUGGAGGACGACGGCCCUACGGGUUGUAAACUCCUUUUAGGGGGGGAUAAAGUGCGGGACGUGUCCCGUUUUGCAUGUACCCCCUGAAUAAGCAUCGGCUAACUCCGUGCCAGCCGCCGCAGUAA